AGGAAUAUUGGUCAAUGGGCGAGAGCCUGAACCAGCCAAGUAGCGUGAAGGAUGAAGGUCCUACGGAUUGUAAACUUCUUUUAUACGGGAAUAAAGUUUCCUACGUGUAGGAUUUUGUAUGUACCGUAUGAAUAAGCAUCGGCUAACUCCGUGCCAGCAGCCGCGGUAAUACGGAGGAUGCGAGCGUUAUCCGGAUUUAUUGGGUUUAAAGGGAGCGCAGACGGGAGAUUAAGUCAGUUGUGAAAGUUUGCGGCUCAACCGUAAAAUUGCAGUUGAUACUGGUUUCCUUGAGUGCAGUUGAGGCAGGCGGAAUUCGUGGUGUAGCGGUGAAAUGCUUAGAUAUCACGAAGAACCCCGAUUGCGAAGGCAGCUUGCUAAACUGUAACUGACGUUCAUGCUCGAAAGUGUGGGUAUCAAACAGGAUUAGAUACCCUGGUAGUCCACACGGUAAACGAUGGAUACUCGCUGUUGGCGAUAUACUGUCAGCGGCCAAGCGAAAGCAUUAAGUAUCCCACCUGGGGAGUACGCCGGCAACGGUGAAACUCAAAGGAAUUGACGGGGGCCCGCACAAGCGGAGGAACAUGUGGUUUAAUUCGAUGAUACGCGAGGAACCUUACCCGGGCUUAAAUUGCAGACGAAUUACGAGGAAACUUGUAAGCCGCAAGGCGUCUGUGAAGGUGCUGCAUGGUUGUCGUCAGCUCGUGCCGUGAGGUGUCGGCUUAAGUGCCAUAACGAGCGCAACCCUCGUGGUCAGUUACUAACAGGUUAAGCUGAGGACUCUGGCCAGACUGCCAUCGUAAGAUGUGAGGAAGGUGGGGAUGACGUCAAAUCAGCACGGCCCUUACGUCCGGGGCUACACACGUGUUACAAUGGGGGGUACAGAAGGCAGCUACCCGGCGACGGGAUGCCAAUCCCCAAAACCUCUCUCAGUUCGGACUGGAGUCUGCAACCCGACUCCACGAAGCUGGAUUCGCUAGUAAUCGCGCAUCAGCCACGGCGCGGUGAAUACGUUCCCG
rnacentral:rRNA from 1 species